UUUCUCUACGAAUAAUUUAUGCAGCUUUAACAUAUGGGUCUUCACUUGAACAAGGUUGGGGGUAUACUUAUAAGAUACUUCAACACUUAAGUCAAAUUUUGUGUAUGCAGAUUUAUUCAUGUAGAAGAAUAUGUGUACAUUUGGUUAACACUAGUAUUUAUAUUGGAGGAUGACUAGCUUUAGGAGAUGCCCCUGCAAGUUGGCUGCAAAAGUGGAUGAGGCAACAAGGUAUUUCAAUUGGUCCUAGUGUAGAUGGUUUGAGAUCAAUUUGCAAAGGAGUUGCAGAAAUAACAUGGUUGAAGCACAAGGAUGUUUUCGGAUGCCUAAGGCUCACACCUUGGGUUCCAAUCUAGGGUUCAGGCCCUAGACUAGAGUUCAAUUCUUUGUUCUUCUAUAGCGCCAAUGAUUAGAAUCAAUUUUACUUGAGCUGACAAUGAUGAUAUUCCUCAACAAGCGAUUUGAUGCAACUUUAACCCAUGGGUCUUUAGUGGAACAAUGUGGGGGGUGUAUCUGCAAGACACUUCAAUACUCAAGUCAGAUUUUGUAUAAGCAUGUUUAUUGAUGUAAAGAAAUAUGUGUACUUCUGGUUAACACACAUGUAUUUAUAGUGAGGGAUAACCAACUUUGGGGGAUGCCUUGCAAGUUUCUUACAAGUGGUCAGGCAGCAAGGUAUUUCAAUUGGUCUUUGCAUAGGUGGCUUGAGAUCAGUUUGUAGAGGAGUUGUAGAAGUAACAUGGCUGAAGCACAAGGCGACCUUUGCUGACUAUAAUCCUUUCUUGAAGAUACCUUUCUUUAUGGUGAAGACUUUAAAUAUGAGUCUUAAUAUGAGUCUUAAAUCAGAUGGUAUUAAGAGAAUGAUGUUUAAAGAGAAAAGAAUAUAUUGUGGUUCAAGCAUCAUAAAUAUUUAUUCACUCUCGUACAAUAAUUUUAAGUAUUUUUUUCU